rnacentral:rRNA from 1 species
AUUGAACGCUGGCGGCAGGCCUAACACAUGCAAGUCGAGCGAACGGCGGACGGGUGAGUAAUGUAUGGGGACUGCCCGAUAGAGGGGGAUAACUACUGGAAACGGUGGCUAAUGCCGCAUACUAUCGGAUAACCCAUAUGGGAUUAGCUAGUAGGUGGGGUAAAGGCUCACCUAGGCGACGAGCCCUAGCUGGCCUGAGAGGAUGACCAGCCACACUGGAACUGAGACACGGCCCAGACUCCUACGGAGGCAGCAGUGGGGAAUAUUCGACAAUGGGCGCAAGCCUGAUGCAGCAAUGCCGCGUGUAUGAAGAAGGCUUUCGGGUCGUAAAGCACUUUCAGUGAGGAGGCGUUAUUUGCCGAGGAAGCAACGGCUAACUCCGUGCCAGCAGCCGCGGUAAUUC